rnacentral:rRNA from 1 species
AGCUUGCUCUGUGGGAUCAGUGGCGAACGGGUGAGUAACACGUGAGCAACCUGCCCCUGACUCUGGGAUAAGCGCUGGAAACGGCGUCUAAUACUGGAUACGAGUAGCGAUCGCAUGGUCAGCUACUGGAAAGAUUUAUUGGUUGGGGAUGGGCUCGCGGCCUAUCAGCUUGUUGGUGAGGUAAUGGCUCACCAAGGCGUCGACGGGUAGCCGGCCUGAGAGGGUGACCGGCCACACUGGGACUGAGACACGGCCCAGACUCCUACGGGAGGCAGCAGUGGGGAAUAUUGCACAAUGGGCGCAAGCCUGAUGCAGCAACGCCGCGUGAGGGAUGACGGCCUUCGGGUUGUAAACCUCUUUUAGCAGGGAAGAAGCGAAAGUGACGGUACCUGCAGAAAAAGCGCCGGCUAACUACGUGCCAGCAGCCGCGGUAAUACGUAGGGCGCAAGCGUUAUCCGGAAUUAUUGGGCGUAAAGAGCUCGUAGGCGGUUUGUCGCGUCUGCUGUGAAAUCCGGAGGCUCAACCUCCGGCCUGCAGUGGGUACGGGCAGACUAGAGUGCGGUAGGGGAGAUUGGAAUUCCUGGUGUAGCGGUGGAAUGCGCAGAUAUCAGGAGGAACACCGAUGGCGAAGGCAGAUCUCUGGGCCGUAACUGACGCUGAGGAGCGAAAGGGUGGGGAGCAAACAGGCUUAGAUACCCUGGUAGUCCACCCCGUAAACGUUGGGAACUAGUUGUGGGGUC